AUUAAAUUGGCAGACAAGUGCUUUAAGUUUAGAACUUAAUAAUGUGUUAAUUUCACAUUUAAUA
rnacentral:tRNA from 1 species